rnacentral:lncRNA from 1 species
UCGAGCGUGCUGUAAGCAAUCAUGUCACAAAAUCUAUUGUGAUGUGUUCCCACUUCCACUCCGAAAUUAGUAAUGGUUGAAGUAGCUCGCAUGACUAUUGAUACUCUGCCUUGACUUGCUGACACAUUAAACACUUGAAAACAAAGUUGGCUACAUCUCUUUUCAUCCCGUUUCACCAAAAUCGGGGUCGCAUACUUCAAUACAUCUUAGGGCUUUUGGGAUGCAUGACAAACUUUAAGUUAUGAGUCUCUGUCAUGAU